GCUUUUUGUUUUGCUCGUCAGCAUCUAUAGGCAAAAUACAUCACUACUCAGCUCCUUUUUUAACACGCCCGAGAUCUCCUUCUGACCUGUUAAUCAAUCUUUAGGAUUCUUUAGCUAACGUUGUUUUCUGUAAGUGAACACAAAGCGCAUUAGAGUAGCCGACACACAAACAUCAUGGGAGGACUCACACUACCCGCAAGCUGAGAAUAAAGUGCUACAUGGACUUGAGCUAGGAGUGGAGGAGUGUGGAGGAGCCAACAUGGAGUUCUUCAAGAACAUACUCACCACUGCAGAUGUCUGGGAGUCCUGUCACUGAGUCCUAACCUGCUGUCAUUCUGCACCAUUCAACUGCUAAUGGCUCACUUCCCUGAGACCCUGGAGCGGAUGAUCCUUCUUGCAAGUAAGGCCUACAGCAGUACAGGAAAUCAGCCCUAAAAAGUCAUGGAUUCCUCUUUCAUAAAUAUUACCCAAGAAGCCCAAACAUGCCAUCUGGGAAGAGGGACUCACGUCGGUAUGGUAACAGGAUCUCAUGGCAAGGCUCAAGCUGAAAUCAGAAAUGCAAAGCAGGAGCAGAGAUACAAGGGCUACAUGUGCAGAGGAGUGCCGCACAGCCAGAGCACUAGAUUUAUUUGUAAAUGUACGCCUGUGAUGCCACUAUCUGUUAAGCCCCUCAGUCAGCUCAGCCUGCGUAAUGUGAGGGGAAGUGUCACCCUGUCACCACCAUGCCAGGGAUCAGCCUGGUGUUUGUGUGUACUGUGAACCAAGCCAAGCUUUGAGGAGGAGGGGAGAAAAUGACACAGAGGCUCUUUCAUCUAAUCCUUGUGGUGUAAUUUGCACCUCAGUAAGUUUAAUUGAUGACUACUGAUCAAAUGCUUGCCUUUGAAAAUAAAAUCUUUGGGAUUGUUAUUUUCCCCUUCAACCUGCAAAAAGAAUUCUUAAUGCAUCUGAUGAGAGGUUUCUAACUGAUGGAUCAGUUUGUGAGAGUUUGAAUCUCGGUACAGUAUACUGAACAAGUAAAACUCCUGCCAAUAUUGUGUAUAUUUCCUUUUAUUAACUACAUUAACUUUAUAAGUAAAAGCAAACUUCAUUAAGCAAA